AGCAUCAGUCUCUCUCUACCUCUGGAGAUUGAGUGUCUGGAUGAUCCCUACAGCUGUGUUGUGGCUUAUUCAUUCAUCAACCGAACUAAACAUCUCAGUAUCACUGAACUCUGUCUGACAUGUUCAGGUCUGUCCUUUUUGUAGCAUCUCUUUGCCUGAUAAAUACUACAAAAUUUCUCUACACUAAUAAUGUUUUUGCUUUAUCCAUUGCAGAACUCCGCCAACAUGCACUUAAGAUACUGCUGAUAACAUCCGUGUUUCUGCUGUUAGCGUUCAUAGUUGUAGUUGUGCUGAUGAUCUGUCGCCGUUUAAAGUGCAAUCGAGGAAAAGAAAAGGCCCAGACUGAGGAAAAGAUGGAUAAUGCUGAUAUGAAAUUUGGUAAACAUGGAACUCAGGAUAAGGUAAGAUACUGUAUGUUUGUUAUUUUCUGAACUUAAUCACUUAAUCUGUUUGUAGAAAACUAUAAGCUAAUAAUUUUUGUCUGUCUGAUGUUGUUGGUAAUUUAACACUCAUCACACAGUUUUAAAGAAAAUGCAGCCAGUAUGAUCAUCACGCUCCCAUGUUCAUUACAUUCUAUUGAUGCCUUUACAGUUAUUUAUAAAUUAUAUGGUGCAUUUGCUGCUUUGUUCUUCUUUUAUAUCCCUGCUUUACACAAUUUUUUCACAAAUGUUCUCCUAUGACUUCCAGAUGUGUGUCUCUUUUCCUACAAAAGAAUGAUGGAGAAGAUCAGACAAAGCCAAGGGCAUAGCUGUCCACCCCGCUGACCAAAGUAUUCCGACAGCAUUAACAGUUGACAUUUCUUUGCUUAAGGCCUCACACCACACCAACAGAUGCAGACCAACGCUGACUGAGCAUAGUACCUAACUUCUCAGAGAUUCCAACACCCGGCAAACGCAGAUUCAACCUGUUGAGUCUGUGAAAACGAGCACUGACCAACGCCAACAGAUGCUGACGGGGUAACACACAGAUCAGACUAAACCCGACAAAUGUGUCUGUUGCUGUUUUGUCAGUGUCUGUCAUUACAGAGUGAAUUGGUGUUAUAAAGUUCUAUGAAAGAACAUGUGCUUUAUCAUGUGCUUUGCGAAACAAAACAAUGCAAGAUGCUUAUAAUAACAAUAAGUGCAUAUUGUUGUGUAUAAGCCACAGCCAAAAGUUCAAAUAUUUUAGUGCAUCUGAAGUUCAAAUCAAAUUUUCACAUACGCAUAUGGUCGGCGCUCCACGCAGCUUUUGUACUACGGUGUGAUCAGUCUUGGCUGGUCCCUGAAGCGUA
rnacentral:lncRNA from 1 species